GCCAAUGUCAUCCUCUCCACCCAGCCUCCUUGGGGAAGAAGAGGCUGAAAAAGCAUCAGAGAAAAGAGAUUUUCACUACAAGAAAAGAGGAGACCACAUGGGACACACUGUCCUUUGAGCAAUGUCCCAGACAAGCAAGCUGCUAAGAGGCUGAGCUGCCAGCAGUGACCCUAGCCUGGCUGGCAAACAGCUGGCACCAGAAUCAUGCCCUGGAGCCCAAGGGUGGCUGAUGGCAACCUGCCAUAGAAACUCUAUUUAUAGCACGUCUUGUCCCAGGUGCUCCUGGAGCUGGCCCAGAUUAACCCAGAUGGAGAAACUGAGGCAGGAAAACCUCCACGACAUCUCCAGAGUUGAAGGGUGCAGGACGCUGAGAAGUGGGUGGGGACUUUUCAGCAGAGACCACUCAAGAUCAGAGGGGUUGUGAUGGGCGGCCAGGGGGCACCCUCACAGAGCCAGCAGGCAGAUUCAGCAGACAGCAGGGGUGUCUCCCCAAACCUGCUUGUGCUACACACCAGGAGGGUCCUCUUGAAUUUCUUUGCCC
rnacentral:lncRNA from 1 species